rnacentral:rRNA from 1 species
AUUGAACGCUGGCGGCAGGCUUAACACAUGCAAGUCGAGCGGGGUGAGGUGCUUCGGUACUGAUCCUAGCGGCGGACGGGUGAGUAAUGCUUAGGAAUCUGCCAUUUAGUGGGGGACAACAUUCCGAAAGGAAUGCUAAUACCGCAUACGUCCUACGGGAGAAAGCAGGGGAUCUUCGGACCUUGCGCUAAAUGAUGAGCCUAGUUCGGAUUAGCUAGUUGGUGGGGUAAAGGCCUACCAAGGCGACGAUCUGUAGCGGGUCUGAGAGGAUGAUCCGCCACACUGGGACUGAGACACGGCCCAGACUCCUACGGGAGGCAGCAGUGGGGAAUAUUGGACAAUGGGCGGAAGCCUGAUCCAGCCAUGCCGCGUGUGUGAAGAAGGCCUUUUGGUUGUAAAGCACUUUAAGCGAGGAGGAGGCUACCUGGAUUAAUACUCUGGGAUAGUGGACGUUACUCGCAGAAUAAGCACCGGCUAACUCUGUGCCAGCAGCCGCCGUAAAAC